rnacentral:rRNA from 1 species
UACGUAGGGUCCGAGCGUUGUCCGGAAUUACUGGGCGUAAAGAGCUCGUAGGUGGUUUGUCGCGUUGUUCGUGAAAACUCACAGCUCAACUGUGGGCGUGCGGGCGAUACGGGCAGACUGGAGUACUGCAGGGGAGACUGGAAUUCCUGGUGUAGCGGUGGAAUGCGCAGAUAUCAGGAGGAACACCUAUAGCGAAGGCAGCUUGCUGGGACGUUACUGACGCUAAGGCGCGAAAGCGUGGGGAGCGAACAGG